GCCGGGAACUCAAAGGAGACUGCCAGUGAUAAACUGGAGGAAGGUGGGGAUGACGUCAAGUCAUCAUGGCCCUUACGACCAGGGCUACACACGUGCUACAAUGGCAUAUACAAAGAGAAGCGACCUCGCGAGAGCAAGCGGACCUCAUAAAGUAUGUCGUAGUCCGGAUUGGAGUCUGCAACUCGACUCCAUGAAGUCGGAAUCGCUAGUAAUCGUAGAUCAGAAUGCUACGGUGAAUACGUUCCCGGGCCUUGUACACACCGCCCGUCACACCAUGGGAGUGGGUUGCAAAAGAAGUAGGUAGCUUAACCUUCGGGAGGGCGCUUACCACUUUGUGAUUCAUGACUGGGGUGAAGUCGUAACAAGGUAACCGUAGGGGAACCUGCGGUUGGAUCACCUCCUU
rnacentral:rRNA from 1 species